rnacentral:rRNA from 1 species
GUGGGGAAUCUUGCGCAAUGGGUGAAAGCCUGACGCAGCCAUGCCGCGUGAAUGAUGAAGGUCUUAGGAUUGUAAAAUUCUUUCACCGGGGACGAUAAUGACGGUACCCGGAGAAGAAGCUCCGGCUAACUUCGUGCCAGCAGCCGCGGUAAUACGAAUGGGGCUAGCGUUGCUCGGAAUUACUGGGCGUAAAGGGCGCGUAGGCGGACAGCUUAGUCAGAGGUGAAAGCCCAGGGCUCAACCUUGGAAUUGCCUUUGAUACUGGCUGUCUUGAGUUUGGGAGAGGUGAGUGGAACUCCGAGUGUAGAGGUGAAAUUCGUAGAUAUUCGGAAGAACACCAGUGGCGAAGGCGACUCACUGGCCCAAUACUGACGCUGAGGCGCGAAAGCGUGGGGAGCAAACAGGAUUAGAUACCCGAGUAGUCC